AGAAAACAUUUUUCAUUUUUUCAUUUUUAUUUUAUAUUGGAGGAUAGCUGAUUUACAAUGUUGUGUUAGUUUCAAGUGUACAGCAAAAUAAUUCAGUUAUACAUAUACAUAUAUAUAUCCAUUCUUUUCCAGAUUCUUUUUAGGACGGGAACAAUUUGAAGGAUUCUGAGGCUGGAAAUGGCAUGAUCAACUCUGUUCUUUGUAAAGAUAAUUCUGGAAACUUUGUGCAGGAUGAACAAAAAGAAGACAUGAACAUCUGCGAGAACAGAGGUGUGUCCUGGUGGUCUGUGGCUGAAAGGCAGUGACAGCCGUGGAGCUGAAGCCCUCACUGCUUCUGACUGGAACCUGGACCCAGGAACCCUCCAUAAAGCUCUUGUUGGAGACACCAACUUGGUUGGGAGGAUUCCUACAAUAACCCUGUAAGGAAGAUAACACAGGCUUUCAUCAUUAACCUCAAUUAUAGAUAAGAAAACUGAAGCACAGUGAAGUUAAAUGAUUUGUCCAAAGCCUCCAACCCGGAACACCAAGUGCUGAACCUAUUCAUUCAUUCAUUCAUUCAUGUGCCAGGUACUGUGGCACUGUUCCAAGCACUGGGAUAGAGGCUGAAGAACACAGUGGUGGAUUAUACAAAGCCUUAUUCUACUUGGAGAGACAGGAAAUAAACAAAUGCGUAAUAUAAUGUUACCAAGCGACAGUGCUACGAAGCAACAUUAAGGAAGGUAAGAGACACAGAGAGAGGCUGGGUUCUCUCUUAAAUGGAGUAGUCAGAGAUUCUGCAGCCUAAGCCCUAGAGUACUGAGUACUUUCACCUCUGCUCCAUACUCCAGACUCAUACUGCUGAAGGAAGCUAAUGGUCCUGAAAUAUUAUGUAACCCUCUCCUUUUGCAGAUGCUGCCCAGGGCUUAGAAUGUGCACAUCUGAGCACCAGAACCCGUCCAGCACAAGAUCCCCCCACUCCCCGGCCAUCCAGGCUACAGGUAGCUCUCUUUAAACUCCCACAAAGGUGGACUGCCUUUUUCACAUAUAGAUUAUAAACUCCUUAGAGGCAAGAAGCACUUGUACAUGGUUUACAAUAAGUAUAAGCCAAUUAAUCAGUUGACUGAUGGGUAGCAUAAAAGCAAUUGAAAGAAAUGGAAGACUGUUCCCCUUAUUCAAUAGUCAUAAAGAUGCCAGUCAAUUCAUUGGAGAGAUUUUCAGAUCUAUAGGGUCUCUCCCCAAAAAAGCCUAACCUCUCACCAUUCCCUAAAUCCCAGGAGCUCCCCUCCUACACAAACCCAUUGGGUAGCCCCCACUAGAAAACCAGAUCAGUCCAGGUUACAGUAAGUAAGGUAGCUGGGUCAAUUGGUGACAUUUCUGCCAAGAGUGGAGAGCGGCAGAGGGGUGUGAAAUGGAGACAGAAUUAGUCCUGAAUUAUUAAAAUCAAUCCACGGAGUUACUGAGUGGAAACUGACUAUGGAGUAAGUGACAAAGACAAAAUGCGUUCAGCUACUUUGCGUUACCGGUUUAAUUUUCACAAAUAUCUCUCAGUCAUAUAUUUAUUUGAAAAACUUUUUAUUGAUAGCACCAUUGAACAUCUUCACUUUUAAAGGUAUGCGUCUGUGCAUACAUCACUGGGGGACUUCACAUGCAAUUAGCGAUGAGUUAUUGAAACUUUGUGUCUUAGGGUUUUAAUAAUUCCCCCAAAUGUGACAAUUAUACUUUGGCAAAAUCACCUGUGAGGACAGAAGGAAGACUUUAAGCAACAAAACUCCACAAUACUGUAACAUAAUUUCAGACCUCCAGGAAGGGGUUAUUCUCCCUUGAAAAUCAUCAUCCUUUCCAGAUUAUUCCCAUCAGAACUCAGAGGAGGUUCAGUGUCUCUGGCCUGGCUUUGUACCAAGAGGAGCCCACUGACCCAUCUAGCAAUAAGCAAGAAAGUUCCACGUAAACAAAAAAGUCCAGAAUGAAACACCUGAAAAGUUCCAGAAAAAAAUGCACAUUUCCAUUAGCUAAACUCCAAAUUCAUAAGAACAUUGAGAUUACAGUGAGGAUUAGGGUCUGAGGCAAGUUCCAUUUGAGCAGCUACUUCCCCGAUUCAACAGCUUCAUUCCUGUUUUAUUCCUGUGGCUAAUCACAUGUAAAUACACUCAGAAGCACAAAUAGGUGACAAUUUAUCAAGUGAACGACAAGGGCUAUACAAUAGGCAUGCUUACUCAGCCUAAAUUAGAAACCCAGAUUAGGUUGCGUUUCGUCGUUUUUUUUAAACCAGUCUUUUUUGCGAUCUUUAAUUGCAAGAGUGUGAAGAUACAUUACACGCGGGGUAAUUUAAAAACAGGAAAUGUAUUUUGUACUCUUGGAAAAAAAUGGAUAUGAUUUGGCAAAGGAUUAAGUGAGUCAUGAACAAUAAAAAAAUGUUUUUAACAUCCGAAUUUGUCAUAGCACUAAGAUGCGCUGUUUGUCAGAAACCAGUAACAAAAAAAUAUCGUAAGUUUAAAAUUGGUAGGAAAUUAAACACCUUAACUCCAAGAAUCAAUUGUGCUGAUGUAACCCCUUCU